rnacentral:rRNA from 1 species
UACGUAGGUGACAAGCGUUGUCCGGAUUUACUGGGCGUAAAGAGCGCGCAGGCGGUCGAUCAAGUCGAGUGUGAAAGCCCCCGGCUCAACUGGGGAGGGUCAUUCGAUACUGAUCGACUCGAAGGCAGGAGAGGGUAGUGGAAUUCCUGGUGUAGCGGUGGAAUGCGCAGAUAUCAGGAGGAACACCAAUAGCGAAGGCAGCUCGCUGGGACGUUACUGACACUGAGGCGCGAAAGCGUGGGGAGCGAACAGG